rnacentral:rRNA from 1 species
GGGUUGUGAGGUUAAGCGACUAAGCGUACACGGUGGAUGCCCUGGCAGUCAGAGGCGAUGAAGGACGUGCUAAUCUGCGAUAAGCGUCGGUGAGGUGAUAUGAACCGUUAUAACCGGCGAUUUCCGAAUGGGGAAACCCAGUGUGUUUCGACACACUAUCAUUAACUGAAUCCAUAGGUUAAUGAGGCGAACCGGGGGAACUGAAACAUCUAAGUACCCCGAGGAAAAGAAAUCAACCGAGAUUCCCCCAGUAGCGGCGAGCGAACGGGGAGGAGCCCAGAGCCUGAAUCAGUGUGUGUGUUAGUGGAAGCGUCUGGAAAGGCGCGCGAUACAGGGUGACAGCCCCGUACACAAAAAUACACAUAUUGUGAGCUCGAUGAGUAGGGCGGGACACGUGGUAUCCUGUCUGAAUAUGGGGGACCAUCCUCCAAGGCUAAAUACUCCUGACUGACCGAUAGUGAACCAGUACCGUGAGGGAAAGGCGAAAAGAACCCCGGCGAGGGGAGUGAAAAAGAACCUGAAACCGUGUACGUACAAGCAGUGGGAGCCUCUUUAUGGGGUGACUGCGUACCUUUUGUAUAAUGGGUCAGCGACUUAUAUUCUGUAGCAAGGUUAACCGAAUAGGGGAGCCGAAGGGAAACCGAGUCUUAACUGGGCGUUAAGUUGCAGGGUAUAGACCCGAAACCCGGUGAUCUAGCCAUGGGCAGGUUGAAGGUUGGGUAACACUAACUGGAGGACCGAACCGACUAAUGUUGAAAAAUUAGCGGAUGACUUGUGGCUGGGGGUGAAAGGCCAAUCAAACCGGGAGAUAGCUGGUUCUCCCCGAAAGCUAUUUAGGUAGCGCCUCGUGAAUUCAUCUCCGGGGGUAGAGCACUGUUUCGGCAAGGGGGUCAUCCCGACUUACCAACCCGAUGCAAACUGCGAAUACCGGAGAAUGUUAUCACGGGAGACACACGGCGGGUGCUAACGUCCGUCGUGAAGAGGGAAACAACCCAGACCGCCAGCUAAGGUCCCAAAGUCAUGGUUAAGUGGGAAACGAUGUGGGAAGGCCCAGACAGCCAGGAUGUUGGCUUAGAAGCAGCCAUCAUUUAAAGAAAGCGUAAUAGCUCACUGGUCGAGUCGGCCUGCGCGGAAGAUGUAACGGGGCUAAACCAUGCACCGAAGCUGCGGCAGCGACACUAUGUGUUGUUGGGUAGGGGAGCGUUCUGUAAGCCUGUGAAGGUGGCCUGUGAGGGUUGCUGGAGGUAUCAGAAGUGCGAAUGCUGACAUAAGUAACGAUAAAGCGGGUGAAAAGCCCGCUCGCCGGAAGACCAAGGGUUCCUGUCCAACGUUAAUCGGGCAGGGUGAGUCGACCCCUAAGGCGAGGCCGAAAGGCGUAGUCGAUGGGAAACAGGUUAAUAUUCCUGUACUUGGUGUUACUGCGAAGGGGGACGGAGAAGGCUAUGUUGGCCGGGCGACGGUUGUCCCGGUUUAAGCGUGUAGGCUGGUUUUCCAGGCAAAUCCGGAAAACCAAGGCUGAGGCGUGAUGACGAGGCACUACGGUGCUGAAGCGACAAAUGCCCUGCUUCCAGGAAAAGCCUCUAAGCAUCAGGUAACAUCAAAUCGUACCCCAAACCGACACAGGUGGUCAGGUAGAGAAUACCAAGGCGCUUGAGAGAACUCGGGUGAAGGAACUAGGCAAAAUGGUGCCGUAACUUCGGGAGAAGGCACGCUGAUAUGUAGGUGAAGCGACUUGCUCGUGGAGCUGAAAUCAGUCGAAGAUACCAGCUGGCUGCAACUGUUUAUUAAAAACACAGCACUGUGCAAACACGAAAGUGGACGUAUACGGUGUGACGCCUGCCCGGUGCCGGAAGGUUAAUUGAUGGGGUUAGCGGUAACGCGAAGCUCUUGAUCGAAGCCCCGGUAAACGGCGGCCGUAACUAUAACGGUCCUAAGGUAGCGAAAUUCCUUGUCGGGUAAGUUCCGACCUGCACGAAUGGCGUAAUGAUGGCCAGGCUGUCUCCACCCGAGACUCAGUGAAAUUGAACUCGCUGUGAAGAUGCAGUGUACCCGCGGCAAGACGGAAAGACCCCGUGAACCUUUACUAUAGCUUGACACUGAACAUUGAGCCUUGAUGUGUAGGAUAGGUGGGAGGCUUUGAAGUGUGGACGCCAGUCUGCAUGGAGCCGACCUUGAAAUACCACCCUUUAAUGUUUGAUGUUCUAACGUUGGCCCGUAAUCCGGGUUGCGGACAGUGUCUGGUGGGUAGUUUGACUGGGGCGGUCUCCUCCUAAAGAGUAACGGAGGAGCACGAAGGUUGGCUAAUCCUGGUCGGACAUCAGGAGGUUAGUGCAAUGGCAUAAGCCAGCUUGACUGCGAGCGUGACGGCGCGAGCAGGUGCGAAAGCAGGUCAUAGUGAUCCGGUGGUUCUGAAUGGAAGGGCCAUCGCUCAACGGAUAAAAGGUACUCCGGGGAUAACAGGCUGAUACCGCCCAAGAGUUCAUAUCGACGGCGGUGUUUGGCACCUCGAUGUCGGCUCAUCACAUCCUGGGGCUGAAGUAGGUCCCAAGGGUAUGGCUGUUCGCCAUUUAAAGUGGUACGCGAGCUGGGUUUAGAACGUCGUGAGACAGUUCGGUCCCUAUCUGCCGUGGGCGCUGGAGAACUGAGGGGGGCUGCUCCUAGUACGAGAGGACCGGAGUGGACGCAUCACUGGUGUUCGGGUUGUCAUGCCAAUGGCACUGCCCGGUAGCUAAAUGCGGAAGAGAUAAGUGCUGAAAGCAUCUAAGCACGAAACUUGCCCCGAGAUGAGUUCUCCCUGACUCCUUGAGAGUCCUGAAGGAACGUUGAAGACGACGACGUUGAUAGGCCGGGUGUGUAAGCGCAGCGAUGCGUUGAGCUAACCGGUACUAAUGAACCGUGAGGCUUAACCUUACAACGCCGAAG